AUUAGGUGUUUUCGUGGAGCACGUCCUGAACGUGUUCAGAGGAAGAACGCUUGCGCAUUAGAAUUUUGGCUGUUCGCGGUGUUGAAAAAUCCUCCUAAGAAUAAAAAGUUCUCUGUUCGCGGAGCGCAACAACUUGUCCUGAACGUAUUCGGAAUGCGUUCAACAAGUUCUGGGAUUAAAGAGAGGAUUUAUUGUCCGCACAUGUGCAGAAGUUGAUUUGACGAAUUUAUUUAUUUUGUUAAGAGAUUCGAGAUUGUAUUUCUAACCUAACAAGUUUAAAAUUUUGAAUUGUUGUGUUAUCAUACAAAUGUUGUAAAAGAUGAUGAACCUCAGUUCAAGUGAUGAAGAUUUGGAAGAGAUUGUAGGACUUUUAAAUGUUCCAAAAAAUGCAAAUUUUUUUGAGGAAACUGUGCAACAAUUUAAUAACCAACAAUUUAUACAGAAUUUUAGAUUAAGUAGAGACUUAGCUGUAGAUUUGGCAAAUAAGUAUGAAAGAUCUCAUUUCCACAAUAUUAUGUAAAAUUACUUUUCCUGUUUUGGAGUGUUGUUUGUCCUAGCGUAGAUAAAGAUAAAAGAAUAAGGUUAGGCAAUUGGCAUAGGCAACCCAAAAAACAUCCGGAAAUUGUUCGUGCAGAAACAAAUUCAGAAUAUAUUCGGAGACACGCUUGCGCAUAUAUUUGUAUCCGGGUUAAGUUCAGAAUACAUUCAGGAUGUGCUCCACGAAAACACCUAUUAACGAUCAACCAAUGAAAAUUCAGGAUAUUCUGCGCAUCCCUUCAUCUGAUUGGUUAGAUGUUUGAUUUCAUGAAUUCAAUUUUCUUGGGAAGGAAUAUUCGAUAAAUCAAUUUAGCCAACCAACUAAUCGAUCAAAAUAUGAAUAUUCAAUUUGUUUUAUUUGUUUAUUAUUGUUAAGUAAACUACAAAAUUAUUUUGUUUAUGUUUACACA
rnacentral:lncRNA from 1 species